CGUUUAAUGUAGCCAUAUCUUAGAUAUGAGAGUCCAAAGCCUCUAUAAAUAACAGAUGGAACG
rnacentral:ribozyme from 2 species